rnacentral:rRNA from 1 species
GACGAACGCUGGCGGCGUGCUUAACACAUGCAAGUCGAACGGAAAGGCCCUGCUUGCAGGGUACUCGAGUGGCGAACGGGUGAGUAACACGUGGGUGAUCUGCCCCGCACUUCGGGAUAAGCUUGGGAAACUGGGUCUAAUACCGGAUAGGAGCCAUCUUUAGUGUGGUGGUUGGAAAGUUUUUUCGGUGUAGGAUGAGCUCGCGGCCUAUCAGCUUGUUGGUGGGGUAAUGGCCUACCAAGGCGGCGACGGGUAGCCGGCCUGAGAGGGUGUACGGCCACAUUGGGACUGAGAUACGGCCCAGACUCCUACGUGAGGCAGCAGUGGGGAAUAUUGCACAAUGGGCGCAAGCCUGAUGCAGCGACGCCGCGUGGGGGAUGAAGGCCUUCGGGUUGUAAACUCCUUUCGCUAGGGACGAAGCUUUUUUGUGACGGUACCUAGAUAAGAAGCACCGGCUAACUACGUG